AGUGAACGCUGGCGGUAGGCCUAACACAUGCAAGUCGAACGGCAGCACAGAGGAGCUUGCUCCUUGGGUGGCGAGUGGCGGACGGGUGAGGAAUACAUCGGAAUCUACUCUGUCGUGGGGGAUAACGUAGGGAAACUUACGCUAAUACCGCAUACGACCUACGGGUGAAAGCCGGGGAUCUUCGGACCUUGCGCGAUUGAGUGAGCCGAUGUCGGAUUAGCGAGUUGGCGGGGUAAAGGCCCACCAAGGCGACGAUCCGUAGCUGGUCUGAGAGGAUGAUCAGCCACACUGGAACUGAGACACGGUCCAGACUCCUACGGGAGGCAGCAGUGGGGAAUAUUGGACAAUGGGCGCAAGCCUGAUCCAGCCAUACCGCGUGGGUGAAGAAGGCCUUCGGGUUGUAAAGCCCUUUUGUUGGGAAAGAAAUCCAUCUGGUUAAUACCCGGGUGGGAUGACGGUACCCAAAGAAUAAGCACCGGCUAACUUCGUGCCAGCCGCCGCGGUAA
rnacentral:rRNA from 1 species